UAGUCAAUGCUCGCAAGAGUGAACUAGCUAACUGAAAUCAAAGAGUUUCUUCAAACUCUAGAUGUCGUAAGGGAAAAUAAUGAUAAUACCUUACUAUUAGUGUCGUCCAAAUCUGGUGCCAGAAGACUCGGUAAGACCAGAGACGCAAACGUUAAUCAUCAUAAUCAGGCGUAAAGGGUUUGUAGGCAGCUUUCAUAAGACUAUGAUUAAAAAAAUAAAGUAGUAUAAUUGAAAGCUAGAAUCAAAAAGAGGUUAUAGUGUAUAACGCCUAGAGGAGGGCUGAUAUCCUUAGAUCCUAGGCAGAAUACUAAAGGCGAAGGCCACUCUCCACUAAGAUUGACGCUGAGAAACGAAGGUUAGGAUAGGAAAUAGGAUUAGAUACCCCGGUACUCCUUUCUGUAAACGAUGAAUGGUAGUCAUUAGUUUAUUUAAACUAGAGACGAAGUUAACACAAUAACCAUUCCGCCUUGUGAGUACUACUGCAAAGUAGAAAACAAAAAAAUUAGUCGGUCUCGAAGCAAACGGAGUGAAGCAUGUUAUUUAAU
rnacentral:rRNA from 1 species